AACGAACGCUGGCGGCAUGCCUAACACAUGCAAGUCGAACGAGACCUUCGGGUCUCGUGGCGCACGGGUGCGUAACGCGUGGGAACCUGCCCUUAGGUUCGGAAUAACUCCCCGAAAGGGGUGCUAAUACCGGAUAAUGUCUUCGGACCAAAGAUUUAUCGCCUUUGGAUGGGCCCGCGUUGGAUUAGCUAGUUGGUAGGGUAAAAGCCUACCAAGGCGACGAUCCAUAGCUGGUCUGAGAGGAUGAUCAGCCACACUGGGACUGAGACACGGCCCAGACUCCUACGGGAGGCAGCAGUAGGGAAUAGUGGACAAUGGGCGAAAGCCUGAUCCAGCAAUGCCGCGAGAGUGAUGAAGGCCUUAGGGUUGUAAAGCUCUUUUACACGGGAUGAUAAUGACAGUACCGGGAGAAUAAGCUCCGGCUAACUCCGUG
rnacentral:rRNA from 1 species